rnacentral:rRNA from 1 species
AUUGAACGCUGGCGGCAGGCCUAACACAUGCAAGUCGAACGGUAACAGGAAACAGCUUGCUGUUUCGCUGACGAGUGGCGGACGGGUGAGUAAUGUCUGGGAAACUGCCUGAUGGAGGGGGAUAACUACUGGAAACGGUAGCUAAUACCGCAUAACGUCGCAAGACCAAAGAGGGGGACCCUCGGGCCUCUUGCCAUCGGAUGUGCCCAGAUGGGAUUAGCUUGUUGGUGGGGUAACGGCUCACCAAGGCUACGAUCCCUAGCUGGUCUGAGAGGAUGACCAGCCACACUGGAACUGAGACACGGUCCAGACUCCUACGGGAGGCAGCAGUGGGGAAUAUUGCACAAUGGGCGCAAGCCUGAUGCAGCCAUGCCGCGUGUAUGAAGAAGGCCUUCGGGUUGUAAAGUACUUUCAGCGGGGAGGAAGGGAGUAAAGUUAAUACCUUUGCUCAUUGACGUUACCCGCAGAAGAAGCACCGGCUAACUCCGUG